AGAGUCUACACCCGCGUGGCUUGGCUAAUCAGCUUCUUUUCUUCUCCGUCAUUCCCUCUGUCUGGUUGAGUGACACUAAUCCUGUGCACCAGCUCAGAGCAGCAGUAAGGAGGGCUGGAUUUAAAGGGAGCACAGGAUUAAGGCUUUAUAAACUCUUAUUUAAUUAUAAUAAACAAUGACAAAAUUGUGCAUUUAAUUUAGGCUGUUAUGAACAAGCCAGUACUAGCACUUUGAUAAAAAAAAUACUCAACAAGAAAAUGGAAGAAGCCGCUUUGAUCCAUUUUUUUCCAGCUUUGCAUGACCUUUUAUCUUGAAAUUCUUUAUUUUAUUUUAUUUUUUUAUAUAUGUUUAACUAUAGUGCUGCUAUACUACUUUUGAUCAAGGUCUAUUGUGCACUAUCAUGGCUCUAUUAUCUUUAUUUAUUUAUAGUAUACAGUAGAGUACACAAGAAGGAGAGCAGGUGGGAAAUGGGCUCUUCCAAGGACAGACUCAAACCCAGACCUUUGCUGUGGCCUUUGGAUAAAUGGGUCGCCUUCUUUCUUUUUUUUUGUGUGUGUAGUUUCUUGCACACCUUUUCUGUUAUGUAUCUUUUUUUUUUUUAAUGGGUUGCCUUCUUAACCCAGCACCCCACUUUCCCUUUCUGAACCAAACAGGAAAAUAAUGUGGACAUCGACAUUGGUUGUGUUGUGCUAGAAUCUACUGUAUUAAAUAUUACUUUGAAGCCGCUAAUGGACCAGGAGAAGACAGCCCAAUUAUGCUAUUAGCGUAGACCGUAUGAUAGAUGGACAUGAUUGGUUUGUAAAGCCCUUUUUUUAAAGCCUCAAGUUGGGCAUUUCUGCUGUUGCCAUGUUUGUUACAAAAAACCCACAUGAAACGAAGAAGGGUGAGUCUGACAGGCAACUUAUUAACCAAUCACUGUGUUUUCAAACCACAGAUAAGCCUAUAUUUGGAAACAUGGUAAGACCAAGACUAACAAAGCGGUCGUAAGUUUUUAUCCACAACAGCCAAAAUGACUGUAUGACAUCAUAAAUUCAGCAGAGGUCAAGACUGAAACCUGUUUUUUCGUAGAUUUCUAUAUACUGGGAAGACUUUUUGCAGACUGCAACUAUCGCCAUCUGGUGGCCUGCAGAUAGAGGUUUUUAGGCAUUUCUGUAUUGGCUUAAUUUUGUCUUGGAGGCUACCUCCAUGUUUUGAGUGAAUCUUCCGAUCAAUACUUUGAUGCGAUAAAAGGAUAUAAACAAAUCAAGGCAGUAAGAUUUUGAAAAUACUGGCAG
ensembl:lncRNA